rnacentral:lncRNA from 1 species
GUCAAAGAGUGCCGGGGACAGGGAGCGGAGACACGGAAAAGGUCAAACUAAAGGCGAGGAGGAGACGCGGCCGGGACGCGGUCUCCGGGCAGCUCGGGCCGGGCCGGGUUGGGCCGCAGGCGGCCUCGUGAGCCGGGGCGGCGGCUGCAGGCAGCGGGGUGCCGUGGGCGGGCAGGGCCGGGCGGGGCGAGGCGAGGCGGCCGCUCCUCGCCCUCUGGGCACGGCCGCCCCCCGCCGCAUCCCCUCACAGUGCUGGAGUGGGGUUCUGUGCUUUACGUGCCCCAGGGCAUGGCUCAAUCUAGCAAACCCUGGAGUGAAGCUGCUAUCAGCGUGUGGAGACUGAGUGCCACCGACAGCCUGUUGUCUGUUCGUGCUCAGAGAGUUAUGUGGAAGGACAGGAGUGACUCAGUAAUAGGAAGUAUUAGUUGCACUGAGGCAAAACCAGAAAGAUACACCACAAAGAAGCACCAACUGCCUGGUAUCUUUAAGCUUUGCUUCUGAGAGUAUUUUGUUCUGUAGUUUAUCACUUGCCUGCUCAAGUUUGUUUGGAACUUCCAUACUGCUAAAUAGGACAACUGUUCUGUGUGAGGAGGAGGUGAGCACAACAGAAGACUUUUGUCUUCGGUUUUAACAACAAAACUGAAAGUUGCUCUGGCAAAAUGGCAAUUCAUUGUUAAUUCAUGAGAUGUAGGUGCUCUGGAAAAAUCAAAUACCAGUUUCAUAGCUACCCUUAGGCAUCUCUAAUUUAUGCAAGCAGGGCUUGCCAAGUAACUACUGAGUCUCACUGACCUUAGUAGGUUUGCAGAGGUCAUAUUUUAACACAGAUAAGUUAUGCUUGAACUAUUUUCUCAGUAGGUAUUAGGAGCAAGUGUUUGUGUACACAAUUACAUGCUUUUUGCCAAUCCUCCAUUACAUUUUCUGUUUUUCUUUAGAUUCUUGCUUGUAAGUUCUACAGUAAAUCCUAGAGUUUUUUUUUGUGUUUUUUCUUAAUCUGUUAUCUUAAGUAAGAAACGUGAGUUUUUGAGGACAGCUUCUUUUUUGGGGUCUCAGUAAAACAGAACAAACAAAGGUUUCAUAGACCGCCAGAAAGGCAGUUGUAGGAUCAGGGAAAGUCGGGGUAUGGGAAGCCAGAACAGCCCAAACGUGUGAGUGACAUCAGCAUUUUUCUGAGCCGUUUAUGCUGCUCACUUCUGUCGGUUCCCAGCAGUGCCUGUGUCUUAUGUAAGCUCGCACUGUACAUCCUGUCCUGCUGUUCUCAUGCAUGAAAAUCAUUGGUGUUAUCUUACUGUACGUUUUGAGAGCUGAGCAGUUACUGGCUACUUGUUGUCUCAAAUGUCUGCAUGCAAAUCUCUCACAAGCAUGCUGGAGAGAGCUAUGCCAAGAGCAUGGUGCUGUCCUCCUAGGAGACAUCAGAGGGGUAAGUUGUAGUAAACGCCGCUCGCUCGUCCUUUGCUCUUUCUGGUAAUAGGCACUAUGAAGUAAUGCAGCUACAGAGGUAAUUGUGCUGCUACAGUCUGAAGUGCUGAUCUGUGUCACGUGCAGAUGGACCACUAAUGCAGUUUCAAUGGCUGGUGAUAAAACAGACAUGGAAAACAAAGGACAGUGGUUUCAACAGAAGCUUUAAUGAUGUUAGGACUGGAAAAGAGAGGCUUUUAUAUACUCUUACUGUGCACUGCUUGUUACGGGUCUUGGAAAGAAACUGUGCCUUCAGAUGGACUGAUGCUUUACCCUUGUUCCUGUAGUUAGCAUUUAGUGAUGCAUAAUGAAGGUACUGUCACUCAAUGGGUGAAAUUGGAGCAAACCUUCCAUUACAAGGCUUCAGAAACAAACAUUCCCUCUAUUUUUUUUCUUGCUAAAUCUAUCUGAAAUCGUCAGGCGUAAAAUCCUGCAGUAAUGUGAUCUGUUAAUGCAAAGUAAGUAACUUGGCCACCUUGUUUAAACGCUACCCAGUGCUUCAGUUACGAAGCAAAACUACCUCUGCUUCUUAAAUACUCUUGUCUCUUCUGUUUGUGCUCCUGCAGUAUGAAGGAGACAAGUUUCUGCUCCUCUGCUCUGGUGAAUGCGAUUGUGUGGCACUGUGGCUUGUUUUGGGGGAGCUGUGUUUGAAGGGCUGUAGAGUUUGUUACAAGCUCUGAUAGGAAAGGCUGACUGGCAGGAGAAGUGCACCUGGGUAGGAGUGCGUUUGUGGAAAGGCCUUGGAAGGAAUGAAAGAAUCUUUCUUGUGGCUUCCCAGUGUGAUCCGUUCCAUGCCGCACGAAACAAUUCCUCAUUGUGCUGGAGUGUAAGACUUAACAAGGAAACUGGCCAUCUGAAGAGGAACAGGUGCAAUGCCCUGACGCUUAGAAGCUAACCAGAUUCCUGAGUGAGCAGAUCUUGCAGAAUUUAAGGAAACUUAUUGGCAGAACAUCUAAGAAGGACUUGAAUUUUUGUUUUGAGUAGGGAAUUGAAUGAUCUCUGCUGCCUUUCACACAAAUCUAGGAAUGCAGUGGCUCUAUUUAGUGCUUUUGUUAUUUUCUUGAAGAUAUAGAAAUAUGUUUCAAAAGCAUAUGCAGGAAGAUGGAGUUGCAGCAGCCAUAAGAACUUGUAAGAAAGCACCUGCACGUUGUGCAUUUGGGAUUCCGUGGCAUUAUAUUUUAUUGCUUUACAGAUGCUUACGUGACUAUCAGAAUCCACAUCUAUGUUGUCCAUAUUCAAUAGCCUUUUCAUUUUGUUGAUGUGGACAGAAUCUAUUCAGGAUGCUUAAAUCUGCUAAAAUAUUUAUAAGAAAGUUGGCCCUUGGAGCAUGUUUCCCACAGGAUGCAGUGGGUGUCGGGGCUAAAGGUCAGUGCAGACGAAGUAAAGUGAAAGCUCUUUUGCAUUUAUUUUCCUACUUUUUUUUCUUAAUUUUCUUUUGAAAGAGAAUUCUCUGUGUUAAGAAGCACAGAACUUUCCUUUGCUACUUCCUACGUUUCCAUACACUAAGAAGCAGGAAUGGACCUGUAAAUACUUAAGCCUUUUAUUGAAACUUUGCUCCCUUUCUUUAGGAGAGCGGGGAAAAAAAAUGAAACCAACAACCCCAAAUCAGUGCAGUUAAUGUAGUCAUGGGCUCUGAGCAUGGAAGUUCCCGGUGUAAAGGAAAAAAGCCAGAUGGAGUUUUAAGUGACUGUCAUGUACCACUUAAGAAACGCACAUUCCUGAUACUAAUAAAAGGGCCAGAUUGGAGCUACAUAAUUAAUCCCAGUGUCCUUUUCAGCACAUGAUAAGAUUUGGCUACAGCAGUCAUAGAGCUAAUGGAGACAACUGUCAGGUUCUACAAAGCAGUGGAUUGUUUGCCUAAAAUAAAAAUACCUAUGUGAUUAUUCUUGUACAUAUAUUUGUAUCUGCUGGUGAUUAGUACUUAUGUCCCAGUUCAAAUGGAAGAUAAAUGGAGCUGAUUUGCUUUUGAAUCCCCUUACUGCCUUAAGUAUCUGUAUAAAUAUAUACACCAGAUAUGUCUGUAAAUAAAUUAUUCCUAUUCAAUAUAUAUUUAAGAUGGGAAGUAAAUGUUUUUUAUUAUUUUCUUUAGGAGUUAGGUGGCAAAACUUGCUCUCCUUUGGAGUCCAUUUGAAAUAUAGUGACUGAUGAAGGCCAAGGAGCAAUUCUGCAAUUGUUUAUUCACUGUAUGUGUCCAUGACCUGGAAGAAGCGUGCAGGAAUGGGCUAAAGCAGAGAUGCUUCUGAGAUGGCACAAAGUGUGUGUUGGAGGCAGACAGGAGGAGUGGGCAGAUGGCAGUCAGAACAAAACAGGGAGUUCAAUAACUUGGGACAGCACUGAGCUGCUCUAUCUGGAGAACACCCUUCUAACCAUAAAGGGGAGCUGCUCUGUCUAAGAUUGAGUGUAAGACAUAAAUGAUCCUCCAAAGAAGCUUUUCUCAAAAAAAAAAAGAGCUUAUUUUCUGAAGACAACUUUGUCACUUGAACUAGAGAUGCUUCUUACCUUGACUGAAAAGGCAGACUAUGGGCACAAACUGGAAGACUCCUCAAGGUAAAACAGGAACAUGUCAUGUGGAGAUACCUGUAUCCUAUUUAAAAUGAUUUGUUUUAAUACUUUGUAGUAAAGUGUCUCCAGGACUCUACCCAUAGAUUAGCCAACCUGGUUUUGGUGCAGCUUUUUCCAGGGAAUAAGACUAAAAUUCCUUUCCUGUAGGAGAAACCAAAUUAGAGUUGAAUAGAGGAAGCUAUAAAAUCAGACCUAUUUACUGCAGGCAGCAAUAUUUGAGUUAAAUGUUAAACUCACUGAAUUAGUGUAAUCAACAUUUGACACCUCAGAAGAGGUAAUACUACUGUGGGAAUGAGGAAGGGCAUCAGCUAUUUGUGUGAUAUCAGACCUAAUAUGUAGCAUGUAUUCAUAUUUCUCCUUAAUUUGGAGAUCCAGGUAUUCAUCUUUCUCUUGUGGUCAGUGCAUGUUGCUGUAUCUCCUCUGCUGAAAAAGCAAAAAUUGCAGGGAAAAAAAAAUUCCAAAAAUAUAUGGCUAUACAUUAUACAGCAACAAUCUGUUAGAAGCCUAUUCUCAGAGAAGGCAAAAAUAUAGCUAAGGAUGCUAAUACUCUUCCUUCCUUUUUCUGUUCUGAUUGCAGGUAAGUCUACUGGUGGGGGUUUUUAUGAGGUGAGGGUAAUACAUUAUGACAAAUUGUUAGUGACAGAUGGAUUUUUUUUACUUAGCUUACUUCUAAAGCAAAAUGAUCUGGAUUAGCCACUUCCUGCCCCCCGAGGUGGCUGCACAACUUCUCAGGUUACCUAAAUUAAAGACUUAAUUUGACUCAGUAAGUUACUCUAUCAGGUUGAGAGCCAAGAAGGUGUUUUAUAAAUACAUGAUUUCUGCAUGCUGAGCAGUGUUGUUCAGUCAGAGGGAAGAGGAGAAUGGGGGGGGGGAGUCUUUAAUUGCUGCCUUCAGUUACCUAAUGGAUCAUGACAAGAAACCAGCUCUUUCUUGGUGUUGUGCAGCAAAAGGGUGAGAAGCACUGGGCACAAGAUGCAGCAAAGGAAAUUCCAGAUAGGUGUAAGGCAGAAGAAAAAAGUUAGACCUGUAGCUACACAGACGUGACUAGAUUGCUUGUAGAAGCUAUGAAAUAUCUUUGCUUGGGGAUGCUCAGAUUUUGAGCAGGGAGUUUGCUGUAGGUGAUUUCCAGAGAGCCUUCCAGAGGUCAUUUCCACUGUAAGAUGUUUUUGGUUUCCAUUUGGUGAUUAGUUCACGACUUUUCUUCACCGAGAAGGCUUAUCGUUCUGAGCUGUCUUUCUGAUCUUCGAUGGUAAUCACUUUUCAUGUCUCAUUUGUUAAAAUUAUGCUCACUAGAGUCAGAAAUGGUGUCUGUGGAGACAGUGCUUUUGUAAAGCAUGUAUUAACUGAAAGGUUCUGACUGCAUGUCUGUUUUACUGUAUUUGUCCAAGUAAAGACUUCCAAAAGUGAAACCAGCUUUGAAGGUUCUCUUACAGUGCUGUUUUUGGUGCUGUUUUUUCAACUUCAGUUAAUUUUAUGUAUUUACAGUUCACAGGACUAAUACUCAGCAGAAUAUUUUGGAGCAGAGUGAGCUAAGAAGUUGAAGACAGGUUGUAUUCUCUUUAAGAGAAAAAUUCUAGGGUGUGAACUUUGAUGCAGAUGUGCAACUUAAUGGUGUAUUCAAUUUCUGCCUACUGUUCCUUUGUUUUAAACUGCUUAUUUAAAAGCAUAAGAACACCCCUUCCUCUUUCUGUGUUUGACCCCCAGCAUUCUGCAUGCUCAGUAUACUCCAGCUAAUACUGAGAUUAUUUGGAUUGCAGGUGAAUGUCUGCUUUUUCAUGGGCUUUGGAGAAGGACAGUGAGCAGCCUUUGUAGUUGCUACUCCUGUAUAUUUUUGGGAAAUAAUGCAAGAAAUGAAUAGGGGCCAGUUUUGUCUUGCAUGCUGUGUCUGUUCUUGAGUUUGUUAGAUUGUAGUCAUUCUCUCUGAUGCAGUUCUAGAUUGAUGGUCAAUUAUUUUUACCUCGUAAACCUCCAUUCUUUGAAACGAGUGAAUCAUGGGCCAGAGUGUGUAGGACAGCUUUUUUCUUAUGCUUAGUCACAGGAGACUAAGCUUACAGUUUUAUUCUAACUUAGCUCCCCAAGAUAUGCAGAGCAACUGGGUGGAUGCUGUUCUUAAUUAUGAUCUGAACUUUAUUUUGGCUCGCACCAUCACUGUUUCAUUGUUUAUCUUCCUUUGGUAAGAUGAGAACAGUAUCUUAUGACAAAAACAUUUAGUUGUUUGGUUUUCUGUAAUGGUUAUGUAUGACAUUUGCAUCCUCACUGAAAUUUGGGCUUAGAUAUGUUAAUAGUGUACUGUUUUACACAUUCCCAUGCAUUCUUAAAAUAUGAGAUGCUUUUUUUGACAGCUCAAUUUAAAACUUUUUACUUCCUACACAGUGAAACUGUCAGUUUUAGUGUUUGCACAUAUGUAUAUAUUUAGUGUAUCCUUCUAGUAUUUGAAGAGAGCUUCUAAGCAGGAAGGGGAGUGACUUUUUACAUGGUCUGAUAGUGAUAGCUCAAGGGAGAAUGGCUUUAAACUAAAGGAGCGGAGAUUUAGGUUAGAUGUUGUGGAAAAAAAAUCCUUUCUCAGAGGAUGGUGAGGCACAGGAGCAGGAUGCCCACAGACAUUGUGGCUGCCCCAUCCUGGUGGUGUUCAAGGCUGAGUUGGAUGGGGCCCUGGGCAGCUUGAUCCAGUGAGUGGCAACCGUACGCGUGGCACAGAGUUGGAGCUUGGUUAUCUUUAAGGUUCCUUCCAAUGUAAGCCAUUCUGUGAUUAGUGAUUGUAAGAAGCAGAGCGUGUGGUUUCCUGAAAAUAUACAGGAAAUGCAGUUCUAAAACUACUUACAUAUGCUUCCUACUUCAUAAUUCAUUGUGCACUGUAAACUUCUAAUGCUAUAGCGAACUCUGUGGCUGUUAAAUGAUCAGACUGCCCUAUGUUAGGGCAGAUUGUAAUCUAUCUGAAUCACUGCGUGACAUUUAUGCUGUUGAAAUUGAAUUGGACUAUGUGAGAGCUGAAAGCUAUGGCACUUUAAAUUCAGCACUGAUUCAGACACUGUGUUUUACUCGGGGCAAAUAACUUAAUGUCUAAUACUCAGUUAUGUUCUGGUCAGUAGACGUGACUUAAAAUAAUUGGAGCAAUAGCAGGGAUCUGCUUUAACUUUCUUUUUCAGUUAGCUAUUUGUGCAUGAGAACUGAGACUUCUAAUUCACUGAGUAAUUGUAAUCAUGCUGAUCAUGGAAUGAGGAUAUCUUAAGAUAUGGGAAGAAAAUAAGCUCUGUGGGAAAUACAUAAGCUCUCUUUAGCUUCCUUGUUCCCCUGCAUCUUCCUUUCCCUUAUUGCUUUCCUUCUUCCCAUCUUGUUUAACUUUCUGAUCACAGUGCAGUCCAAGCUCAGUGUGACUGAUAAAAUAAUAUGUGGCACUUGGGAAAACUGCAGUACCUCUCUGUGACCUGUGUGGCUUGGGUUUGGAAACUGAAAGAGCACAAACUUCAGGUAUCACAGCAGUGCCCUUUUUGUUGGUGUUAAACCUCUUGGUGAAUCCCUUGUACUGACAGCUUAAGAGCCAGAUUGGUAAAUGUUGUGUGUCAGGAACAGUUUAUGUAGUUUAAAGAUUCACAUGGUUCUUCACAUUUUCUGUAUGAGGAAUUUGAAGGGGAAUUCACACUGCAAGAAAUGCUACAUUCAUUGUUGUUCUUCAGCAAAUACAGUUAACAGCAUUAAUGGAAGCCAGCAAUCAAUGUCCUUCUGUUUGCAGUGACGUUAGAAUAAGUCCUGGUUCUGUGCUUUUAAGCUUUAGCAGGGUUAGAGGACAGAACCUUUGACAAAAGCCGGAGUGUGGUGUCUUUUUGUAUUUGUUUGUAAGUGUUCAGGAGAAUAGCAGAAGAUGCUUAAUCUUCAGUUUUCAUAGAAGAACUUUUAUGGAAGUUCUAUCCUUCAAAAGCGUAGUUGCACGGAACUACACUGCAGAUAUAUUUUCUUAAUGUUUUUGGAUGGAGCUGAAAAUGUAACUCCUUUGUACAAACAUGAUCACACUGUUAGAUGUUGUGCUGGGGUUGGUAGCUGACAGUUUGAUAAAACAGCAAGAGACUUCACUGUCAUUUGUAUUGUUUUUUUUGUGAUGAUCUGAGUGUUAAAAUGAAGCUGGAGGGAGUGUCCUCUCUUUAGGCAGGUGACAUUGUGGUAACCUUCAUUACUUCCUUAAGAAGCAAGUGUUGAAGGAGAGCAGCACAAGAAAUGGUUCACUGCAGCAUAAUGCUUAGCAGCCUAAUUAGUCGAAUACCAUGUGCCUACCUCUGCAUGAAAUAACCCAUUUCUUCACAAGGUAAAAUAGGAAUUUUCAGUUUUGGAACAGCCUGAAGAGGCCUUUGUUGCAAAUGUCCGUUGGCUUUUUAACUAUUUAUUCUCAAAUAAUGAAGGUCAGCAUGGUAUCCAUAGAGACUGCAUGCAGCUUCCUCGUUAAUCUUGGCAAACUCCUGUAAUAACUACAUUCACUUAAUACUAACAAGUGUUCACAUUUCAUUAAUGGGAGAACAGUAUGGGAUUGACAUUCUGUAACUGAGAAAUCUUGAAUGUGUAGUUUUUCUUCUUUAAACUCUGUUAGAAUUUCCCUUUACGAGUUGCCUUGGAGGCCUGAACAGCCUCAGAACAAGCAACUUUUAAAUUGCAGGAGUCUGCGUAUUUCCUGGAAGCAGAAAACUUCUUACUGGCUAAGCCUUUUCUUUCUGAAAGGAUCAAGAAUGAUAAACAAGGAUAAAUGGGUCUGCUUUCAGCUCUGUUAGUAAAAGGAAAGUUUUCUGCUAUGAACUAGAAUAUAAAGGCAUUGAAGUAUUAUGUAAAUAUGAUCAAGCUAGAAUGAUAAGAUUUAAAAAAAUAACCUCAUGCAGACUCUCCACCUCUGCUUUUUUUCUUCCUUUUUCUUUAACCAAGAAUGGGAGAAUUUUUGUAUCACCAGAACACUGCUGAAGUCCUUUGUAUUUGACUGUCAGAUUACUUCUGUGCAGAAAAUUCUAAUCAGAGUGUUAAUAUGAAAUAACUGAGUGCUGUAUGCUUAAUAAUGACUUUGAUUUAAAUUAAAUUUUGUUCUUGAAUAGUAUUUUGUCAUUUAAAUACUUUUAAUAUUGAAAGGGUUCUUUUAACUGAGAAGAAAGAAAUAGACUGCAUCAGAACAGAAUGCAGUCUUGUGGGACUUCUGGUACUGAGUUGCUGAAGGGGGGGAAGUAAAAUGGUUCCAUCCAGAGGCUGUUAUUGUUUUAUUCCCACCCUGACACUUUUAAUGCUUACCCCAGGAUAUAUAUAUAUAGAGAGAGAGAGUAACAGAGCCUUAAACUGAUGCUGAGAAAUAUACAUAUUUUUUCAGAAUUCUGCCAGGUUUAUUUCUAAGAUUUCCUUCAUUAUGAGCUUGUUUUCCUAAAUUAUACAUUCUUAUUUAGAAACAUAAGUAACUGUGAAAGAGUAGAUAGUGUGGAUGCUUAGAAUGGAACUCCAUUUAUUUUUUUUGAGAGUUCUGGUAAUGAAGGUAUAGGAAAGUAAAAUGUAUGUAUGAAUGUAUUUGAACCUGAAGAGGUUUAAAAAUGUGCAUUUUAAAACUUGAGUACGUAUAUUCCCAUGUCUUGCAUUUAGAAACAUUAAAUUAUGUUAAAUCUACAAUUGUGGUGUUUUUGUAUCAAUGCUUGUUUUAAGUGAAACUGAAAAUGAGAUUUUCUUCAGAAUUAGUGGAAUGGUAAUUGAUUGGAAUGUCACAGAAAUGUCAUAAAUCUUUUUCUUUUCCCCCUCCCCUAAAGGUGACCGACUACUUUGUACUGCUGGACACCUGCAGUGAUGUAUAGUAGUCUGUUGCUGUAAACAUCCCCGACUGGAAGCUGUAGCAGCUCGAGC